UACGUAGGGGGCUAGCGUUGCUCGGAAUCACUGGGCGUAAAGGGUGCGUAGGCGGGUUUUUAAGUCAGGGGUGAAAUCCUGGAGCUCAACUCCAGAACUGCCUUUGAUACUGAAGAUCUUGAGUCCGGGAGAGGUGAGUGGAACUGCGAGUGUAGAGGUGAAAUUCGUAGAUAUUCGCAAGAACACCAGUGGCGAAGGCGGCUCACUGGCCCGGUACUGACGCUGAGGCACGAAAGCGUGGGGAGCAAACAGG
rnacentral:rRNA from 1 species